AUUGAACGCUGGCGGCGUGCCUAAUACAUGCAAGUCGAACGCAGUGGGGACGGGUGAGUAACACGUGGGUAACCUCCCCUCAGAGGGGAUACCACUUGGAAACAGGCGCUAAACCGCUACUGAUGGAUGGACCCGCGGUGCAUUGGCUAGUCGGUGAGGUAACGGCUCACAAAGGCCACGAUGCUUAGCUGACCUGAGAGGGGGAUCGUCCACACUGGGACUGAGCAACGGCCCAUACUCCUACGGGAGGCAGCAGUAGGGAAUCUUCGAAAAUGGACGAAAGUCUGAUCGAGCAACGCCGCGUGAGUGAAGAAGGUUUUCGGAUCGUAAAACUCUGUUGUUAGAGAAGCGGUAUCUAACCAGAAAGCCACGGCUAACUACGUGCCAGCAGCCGCGGUAAUAC
rnacentral:rRNA from 1 species